rnacentral:sRNA from 1 species
CGCCAUGAAGGCCUCGGGCACGCUACGAGAGUACAAGGUAGUGGGUCGCUGCCUGCCCACCCCCAAAUGCCACACGCCGCCCCUCUACCGCAUGCGAAUCUUUGCGCCUAAUCAUGUCGUCGCCAAGUCCCGCUUCUGGUACUUUGUAUCUCAGUUAAAGAAGAUGAAGAAGUCUUCAGGGGAGAUUGUCUACUGUGGGCAGGUAUGGAGAGGCCGGGGCUACGUGGGGUCUGGAGUGGAUUUGCGCCUCUUGGGACAUCGUGCAUCUCAAGAAUUAAUCAGACAUCGACCGGGUGCGGUAGCUCACACCUGUAAUCCCAUCACGUCAGACAUCAGAGCCCCGGGUUGUGUUUCUGCCUGGGUCACGGGACUGGAGCAGAGCUUAUGUGCCAUUUCCCUGAUUAGAAAGCCAGGGACCCAGGGAGCGGGUGGGUGGCAUGGUGGGACACCUUGGUUGGUGCUGUCUUCCCUGGGCCCUGUGUGUUAAGUGAGGAGAGGUGAUGGCUAUCUGGUCAGUGGGUGGUAGCUAGGUUGGCCCAGACAGGUUCCAGGAGACUUGAGUUCAGGAACUGCAUCUGGGGCUGGGUUGGUGUCCGUGGCAGAAGCCUGGACUUCAAGCUGUUGCCAUGGGAAGUUCCCUUACCUCACGCUCCCUGAGGGUGCCUGAAGGUAGGUGGGGCUGGGGAACUGAGGCACAAGAGUCUGGCCAUAGAGUAGGCCUGGAGCCUGGGGUGUGCUUUAGAGGCCGAGGGCUCAGUGAGGAUGGGGCUAGGGCACAUCGGCUUGCUGCUCUCACAUCUCCCUGUGGCCUCUCCUUGGCAGGUGUUUGAGAAGUCCCCCCUGCGGGUGAAGAACUUCGGGAUCUGGCUGCGCUAUGACUCCCGGAGCGGCACCCACAACAUGUAC